rnacentral:rRNA from 1 species
ACUCCUACGGGAGGCAGCAGUGGGGAAUUCUGGACAAUGGGGGAAACCCUGAUCCAGCCAUGCCGCGUGAGUGAUGAAGGCCCUAGGGUUGUAAAGCUCUUUCACCGGUGAAGAUAAUGACGGUAACCGGAGAAGAAGCCCCGGCUAACUUCGUG